rnacentral:rRNA from 1 species
UUAAGUUAUUAAGGGCGCACGGUGGAUGCCUUGGCACUAGAAGCCGAUGAAGGACGUUACUAACGACGAUAUGCUUUGGGGAGCUGUAAGUAAGCUUUGAUCCAGAGAUUUCCGAAUGGGGAAACCCAGCAUGAGUUAUGUCAUGUUAUCGAUAUGUGAAUACAUAGCAUAUCAGAAGGCACACCCGGAGAACUGAAACAUCUUAGUACCCGGAGGAAGAGAAAGAAAAUUCGAUUCCCUUAGUAGCGGCGAGCGAAACGGGAAGAGCCCAAACCAACAAGCUUGCUUGUUGGGGUUGUAGGACACUCUAUACGGAGUUACAAAGGACGACAUUAGACGAAUCAUCUGGAAAGAUGAAUCAAAGAAGGUAAUAAUCCUGUAGUCGAAAAUGUUGUCUCUCUUGAGUGGAUCCUGAGUACGACGGAGCACGUGAAAUUCCGUUGGAAUCUGGGAGGACCAUCUCCUAAGGCUAAAUACUCUCUAGUGACCGAUAGUGAACCAGUACCGUGAGGGAAAGGUGAAAAGCACCCCGGAAGGGGAGUGAAAUAGAACCUGAAACCGUGUGCUUACAAGUAGUCAGAGCCCGUUAAUGGGUGAUGGCGUGCCUUUUGUAGAAUGAACCGGCGAGUUACGAUUUGAUGCAAGGUUAAGCAGUAAAUGUGGAGCCGUAGCGAAAGCGAGUCUGAAUAGGGCGUUUAGUAUUUGGUCGUAGACCCGAAACCAGGUGAUCUACCCUUGGUCAGGUUGAAGUUCAGGUAACACUGAAUGGAGGACCGAACCGACUUACGUUGAAAAGUGAGCGGAUGAACUGAGGGUAGCGGAGAAAUUCCAAUCGAACCUGGAGAUAGCUGGUUCUCUCCGAAAUAGCUUUAGGGCUAGCCUCAAGUGAUGAUUAUUGGAGGUAGAGCACUGUUUGGACGAGGGGCCCCUCUCGGGUUACCGAAUUCAGACAAACUCCGAAUGCCAAUUAAUUUAACUUGGGAGUCAGAACAUGGGUGAUAAGGUCCGUGUUCGAAAGGGAAACAGCCCAGACCACCAGCUAAGGUCCCAAAAUAUAUGUUAAGUGGAAAAGGAUGUGGCGUUGCCCAGACAACUAGGAUGUUGGCUUAGAAGCAGCCAUCAUUUAAAGAGUGCGUAAUAGCUCACUAGUCGAGUGACACUGCGCCGAAAAUGUACCGGGGCUAAACAUAUUACCGAAGCUGUGGAUUGUCCUUUGGACAAUGGUAGGAGAGCGUUCUAAGGGCGUUGAAGCAUGAUCGUAAGGACAUGUGGAGCGCUUAGAAGUGAGAAUGCCGGUGUGAGUAGCGAAAGACGGGUGAGAAUCCCGUCCACCGAUUGACUAAGGUUUCCAGAGGAAGGCUCGUCCGCUCUGGGUUAGUCGGGUCCUAAGCUGAGGCCGACAGGCGUAGGCGAUGGAUAACAGGUUGAUAUUCCUGUACCACCUAUAAUCGUUUUAAUCGAUGGGGGGACGCAGUAGGAUAGGCGAAGCGUGCGAUUGGAUUGCACGUCUAAGCAGUAAGGCUGAGUAUUAGGCAAAUCCGGUACUCAUUAAGGCUGAGCUGUGAUGGGGAGAAGACAUUGUGUCUUCGAGUCGUUGAUUUCACACUGCCGAGAAAAGCCUCUAGAUAGAAAAUAGGUGCCCGUACCGCAAACCGACACAGGUAGUCAAGAUGAGAAUUCUAAGGUGAGCGAGCGAACUCUCGUUAAGGAACUCGGCAAAAUGACCCCGUAACUUCGGGAGAAGGGGUGCUCUUUAGGGUUAACGCCCAGAAGAGCCGCAGUGAAUAGGCCCAAGCGACUGUUUAUCAAAAACACAGGUCUCUGCUAAACCGUAAGGUGAUGUAUAGGGGCUGACGCCUGCCCGGUGCUGGAAGGUUAAGAGGAGUGGUUAGCUUCUGCGAAGCUACGAAUCGAAGCCCCAGUAAACGGCGGCCGUAACUAUAACGGUCCUAAGGUAGCGAAAUUCCUUGUCGGGUAAGUUCCGACCCGCACGAAAGGCGUAACGAUUUGGGCACUGUCUCAACGAGAGACUCGGUGAAAUCAUAGUACCUGUGAAGAUGCAGGUUACCCGCGACAGGACGGAAAGACCCCGUGGAGCUUUACUGUAGCCUGAUAUUGAAAUUCGGCACAGCUUGUACAGGAUAGGUAGGAGCCUUUGAAACGUGAGCGCUAGCUUACGUGGAGGCGCUGGUGGGAUACUACCCUAGCUGUGUUGGCUUUCUAACCCGCACCACUUAUCGUGGUGGGAGACAGUGUCAGGCGGGCAGUUUGACUGGGGCGGUCGCCUCCUAAAAGGUAACGGAGGCGCUCAAAGGUUCCCUCAGAAUGGUUGGAAAUCAUUCAUAGAGUGUAAAGGCAUAAGGGAGCUUGACUGCGAGACCUACAAGUCGAGCAGGGUCGA